rnacentral:rRNA from 1 species
GUCCACGCUGUAAACGGUGGGUACUAGGUGUGGGGGACAUUCCACGUUCUCUGUGCCGUAGCUAACGCAUUAAGUACCCCGCCUGGGGAGUACGGCCGCAAGGCUAAAACUCAAAGGAAUUGACGGGGCCCCCGCACAAGCGGCGGAGCAUGCGGAUUAAUUCGAUGCAACGCGAAGAACCUUACCUGGGUUUGACAUAUAUCGGAAAACGUUCAGAGAUGGGCGCCCCGUAAGGUCGGUAUACAGGUGGUGCAUGGCUGUCGU